CACAUUUAGUGGGAAAGAGAGCUAUGGGAAUUAAAUUUGGCCAUACUUUGGACUUAAAUACUGAAUGAAUGAAUGAAUGAAUGAAUGAAUACAAAGCAGACCAUGAUAAGAACUAGGAGAAAGAAUGAAGAGGUGGAGUGUGUUACUCUUGGGGCUGGAAUGAGCAUGGCAUGUGCGGAGAUGGCACUGAAGCCAACGUCUGGGCCCCAAAGCCGGUGCAGGCUCUGCUGUCAUCGUCAGGACUCCUUGUGGGCUGUGGGGCUGGCCACUCCUUGGCCCUCUGCCAGCUGCCAGCUCACCCUGCAUUGGUCCAGGACCCCAAGGUCACCUACCUUUCCCCAGAUGCCAUCGAGGACACUGAAUCUCAGAAAGCCAUGGACAAAGAGAGAAACUGGAAGGAAAGACAAUCAGAAACUUCAACCCAAAGCCAAUCUGACUGGUCCAGAAAUGGGGGACUGUGAUAGAGAAUCUUUAAUAAAGUGGCUUUUCCCACC
rnacentral:lncRNA from 1 species